rnacentral:rRNA from 1 species
GACGAACGCUGGCGGCGUGGAUUAGGCAUGCAAGUCGAACGGUAGGAUACCUUCGGGUAUCUGAGAGUGGCGAACGGGUGAGUAACACGUAGGUGAUCUACCCUCAAGAUUGGGACAACCCAGGGAAACUUGGGCUAAUACCGGAUGUGAGCAACUUUUAGUUGUUUGAAAGGUGGCGUAAGCUGUCGCUUGGGGAUGAGCCUGCGUCCUAUUAGUUAGUUGGUGAGGUAACGGCUCACCUAGGCAAUGAUAGGUAGGCGGCCUUAACGGGUGGUCGCCCACACUGGGAUUGAGAUACGGCCCAGACUCCUACGGGAGGCAGCAGUCGAGAAUAGUCUACAAUGGUCGGAAGACUGAUAGUGCGACGCCGCGUGAACGAUGAAUCCCUUCGGGGUGUAAAGUUCUUUUAUAUGUGAGCAGUGCUUCUUAUAUUAACAGUAUGGGGAGAGAGAUAUUAGCAUAUGAAUAAGCAACGGCUAACUCCGUGCCAGCAGCCGCGGUAAAC